CAUAAUGACAAAACUUUCGAGCGGUCGCCAUUUAAUUCCUCGGUUAAGGCGACUAAAAACUUGAACAUAGCUCGUUUUGACAGCUUUCAGAACUGACAGUUUGCUCAUAGUUGACUUAUGGAAACAGGACAAUGUGCUUUUGAUAUAUGAGGAUACUGUUCAGACAGUGAGGGCACCUCUGGACUCUGCAUGAUGGGAAACUGUUGACAAAGAAGCCAAGAUUCAUUAAAAGUUCAAGACCAGCAAAGGCAAUGCUUCUUUAACCAGGGACAAGAACUCAUCAGGAGGAUUUGAACCUUUUCAUGGAAGCACCAUUUGUAAAUCUCUUGAGUAAUGUUGGUUCUAAACCAAUGGUUGAAAACACCUGUUUUGAUCAGUACACUACUCACAAAAGAUUUUCACCUUGCACACAGAUCACCCGAAGAAGCUAUCAGAAGGAACAUCAGCCACCAAUGCUAUUGAUGUUUGAAUUCAAUUGUAUGACACAAUAGUAAACUU